ACCUUCGACCUCGCGCAAGCCAUGGCGUGGGCUCUGAUUCUCGCCGUCACCUUCCUCGUCAUCAACAUUGUCCUCUUCGCCUCCACCUUCUAUCAGAUCCUGAUAUUAUCUGAUCUGGAGGCGGACUACAUCAACAUGUACGAAGCGGCGUCUCGGAUCAACGGGUUGAUCCUUCCUGAUUUUAUCUUACAAGGAGUUCUCAGCGCGCUUCUACUGAUGACUGGGCAUUGGUUCAUGUUUCUAGUUUCAGUCCCUGUUACUUGUUAUCACGUCAUGCUGUACAUAAAGCAGCGGCAUCUAAUUGAUGUGACUGAAGUAUUUAGAGUUCUUGGGACUGAGAAAAAGUAUCGCAUGGUGAAGCUUGGUUUAUUAUCCGUUCUCUUUCUCAUGGUUAUAUUUAGAUUUAUUCGCGCUGGCCAUUUGUUAUUUCAAGAUCCCCAGUUUGGAGAUUUAGAUAUUCGCUCAUCAUUCCUGGAGUUUUAGAAAUUAUCUUGCUUCAGUAUUUCUCAUCCAAGAAGGUUAAUUUGAAACUUUUCCAGUCCUGUGGUUGGCUGAGGUUUCUUAGAUUAAUCUUCUUAAUGGAUUGCACUGAAGGCUCGUGUUGUCAAUUUUUGAAUCUUUUGUCGACGACGAAGAUGCCUUGCAUUCAUUUUGAUAAAUACAGCUGGAGAAGCAAUAGUGCCCCUCGUUGCAAAUGGCGGCGUACAUCGAACAGAAUUGUGUUAGGAGUCAGCUGGUUUAGGCUAGUAUCAUUGAUUAGAGUGAUUUUUAUCUUGAUUGGGGAGCUACUUUCGACACGCUCGGACAGGAAUUACUCUCUCAUGUUGCUGUGGAAUAGUUUAUACGAACCUUCCGUUGUUUGAAGCACAAUUUGGAUGCUGCUACAGAGCAGGACCAGAAAUUUGUACAUUGGUAGAUGGCUGUGGAGUUGGAAAUUUGUAUAACCUGCCAGCAUGUUGUGGCGCUUUUCGUAUCUUUGUGGACAUCGCGAGCGUGGGAAAGCACAGGUUGAGCAUUGCAUGGGUGAGUGAUGGCUGAGAUAGAGCCUGAGACUAUUUCCAAUGUCGUACAUUGUUCGGAUCAUGUCUCUCCUUUUAACUGACGUUUAUCUGCCGCUUCAAGAGCGUUUACUUUCAGUACAAUUUCAUUUUCGCAUUGCAAGAAAA